UACGGAGGAUCCAAGCGUUAUCCGGAUUUAUUGGGUUUAAAGGGUGCGUAGGCGGAUUGAUAAGUUAGAGGUGAAAUGUCCGAGCUCAACUCGGGAACUGCCUCUAAUACUGUUGAUCUAGAGAGUAGAUGCGGUAGGCGGAAUGUAUGGUGUAGAGGUGAAAUGCUUAGAGAUCAUACAGAACACCGAUUGCGAAGGCAGCUUACCAAUCUAUAUCUGACGUUGAGGCACGAAAGCGUGGGGAGCAAACAGG
rnacentral:rRNA from 1 species